UACGGGGGGGCAAGCGUUGUUCGGAAUUACUGGGCGUAAAGGGCCAGUAGGCGGCCAACUAAGUCGGACGUGAAAUCCCUCAGCUUAACUGGGGAACUGCGUCCGAUACUGGAUGGCUUGGAUUUGGGAGAGGGAUGCGGAAUUCCAGGUGUAGCGGUGAAAUGCGUAGAUAUCGGAAAGGAACAUCAGUGGCGAAAGCGGCUUCCUGGACCAGCACCGACGUCAGGCACGAAAGCGUGGGGAGCAAACAGG
rnacentral:rRNA from 1 species